UUUUCCUACGGGACGCAGCAGUAGGGAAUCUUCCACAAUGGACGAAAGUCUGAUGGAGCAACGCCGCGUGAGUGAAGAAGGGUUUCGGCUCGUAAAGCUCUGUUGGUAGUGAAGAAAGAUAGAGGUAGUAACUGGCCUUUAUUUGACGGUAAUUACUUAGAAAGUCACGGCUAACUACGUGCCAGCAGCCGCGGUAAUACGGAGGUGGGAAGCGUUGUCCGGAUUUAUUGGGGUUAAAGGGGGCGUAGGCGGUCCGUUAAGUCAGCGGUAAAAUUGCGGGG
rnacentral:rRNA from 1 species